AGGCAAUAGUUUUAUUGAAAGCAGAGAUAAGUAGGUACAAGCAAAAACAUCUUAACUAAUGCACUGUCCCAAAAACUGUUUCUAGGCGACGAGGUCCGAGGUGCCCGUGUAGCCGUCGGUCAGAGUUAAGUUGCCGUCGUCGCCCAGGGUGCCAUUGCCAGUGUAGAUGUCGGCCAAAGUUACAUUGUGGGUGCCGUUGCCCGCGUAGACGUCAGCCAAAGUCUCGUUGCCGUCGUCGCCCAGGGUGCCGUUGCCCGCGUAGACGCCAGCCAAAGUACCAUUGCUGCCAUCGUCGCCCAGGGUGCCGUUGCGGGUGUAGACGUCGGACAGGGUGUCGUUGCCAUCUGCCAAAGUUCCGUUGCCCGUGUCGACGU
ensembl:lncRNA